GUGGUUGUGACGGAAUUGGCAUACGUACUGGUUUAAGACGCCAGGUUUUAGGGGUUCAAGUCCCCUCUUCCACACCA
rnacentral:tRNA from 1 species